rnacentral:rRNA from 1 species
GACGAACGCUGGCGGCGUGCUUAACACAUGCAAGUCGAACGGUAAGGCUCCAGCUUGCUGGGGUUCACGAGUGGCGCACGGGUGAGUAACACGUGGGUGACCUGCCCUUCACUUCGGGAUAAGCCUGGGAAACUGGGUCUAAUACCGGAUAUGACCAUGUUGUGGAUACUGUUGUGGAAAGUUUUUUCGGUGUGGGAUGGGCCCGAGGCCUAUCAGCUUGUUGGUGGGGUAAUGGCCUACCAAGGCGGCGACGGGUAGCCGGCCUGAGAGGGUGGACGGCCACAAUGGGACUGAGACACGGCCCAGACGCCUACGGGACGCAGCAGUGGGGAACAUGGCGCAAUGGGCGGAAGCCUGAUGCAGCGACGCCGCGUGGGGGAUGACGGCUUUCGGGUUGUAAACUCCUUUCACCAUCGACGAAGGGUUUCUGACGGUAGAUGGAGAAGAAGCACCGGCUAACUACGUG